GAGCCGGGCAGGAGUUUCCCCGACAGCUGGAGGCUGCGUGGGAUCCGGCGGCUCCGGAGCUCGGCGGUGCGGCCUUCCCCGCCCCCCUUCUCUUCCCCCGCCCGCUUCCGCCCGGCUUAUUAUCCUCCGUAUUGACAAACAGAGCGGCCGCAGCGGCGACUCUGGGCGUGCGUUAGUAGCCGAGCGAUGGGAGACAAGAAGAGCCCCACCAGGCCGAAGCGGCAGCCGAAGCCGUCCUCGGAUGAGGGUUACUGGGACUGUAGCGUCUGCACCUUCCGGAACAGCGCCGAGGCCUUCAAGUGCAUGAUGUGCGAUGUGCGGAAGGGCACCUCCACCCGGGACAGCAAGGAAGGGGGGAAGCUGUUGUCCUACUCCACAGCCAGUCUUGGGGUUAGAGGAACCCUGAGAAAUAGAGUAGGUGGUGGCAGCUCAGAAGAGAAGAAACAGGCUGAAUACCUGGCACCUGGAAGAAGAAGGAUUAUAGUGCACAGGGGAGUUGGCCCAGGACAGAGAAGUGAGCCUACUUUUAAAGAGGCUUGAGGCCCACAUGGGAGCCCCUGACAUUUUUUUACCAGUACAUCUGAGCUCUUGUAGAUCCCAUUUUUAGUGGUGGAAACAUUACUUGAGGAGCACUCAGAGAAGCAUUGUCAUUUGGAUUGAAACUGAAGAGGCUCUGGGCAACCCACCAGAAGUCUAAGGGACACUCUGUUCCUAAAAAGAAGAAAAACCUGGAUCACUUACCAGUAACUGGAGUUCUCCUAUUGGGUAAUCUCCACAGAUCCACAUUCUUUGAAGUUAUUGUGAAUGCUUCGAGGACCAAGGAACCGUUGAAAUUUCCAAUUUCAGGAAGUUCCAGUGGAUGCCCAUCAGGAAGAUUCUCAUGCUGGACAGAAGGGCAGGAGAGGUGGAUCUGUGAGGGAAAAGACCCAAUAGGAUAACUCAAGUUACUGGUGGAGAAAUGACUUAUGGCUUUUUAGUAAUCAAUUUUUAUGAAAAAGUAAAGAUGUUCCUUAAAUCAUUCCAUUUUCAUGAAGUAGUGACUUAAAAACAAGGUGGAAUAAACAGUUUUUUCAAGAAUGGAUCUCUGAAAGUUGGCACUUAAGUAAGUGUUCACAUUAUUAACAGCUGUAUUUACACAUUAUAUUUAACUGAUAUUUAUUAUGAUCAUCAAUAUCAAGAGAUGUUUCUUGAGCAUCUAAUUCAUGUAAGAUGUGCUGUAUUAGGUGCUGGGGUACAAAAGUAGGUAAUAUAUAAUCUUUAGAGAUUAGAUCCCAGAUGGUAGGGAAAGAGAAAACAACCAUAAAAGACAAAUACAAAGUACAGGAGUAUGCAAGACUAUCUCUUCUGCAGAGAUUGUACAAGGGUCCUGCAAAUGCACAUUUCUUUUCUAAAUAUUUUUACCAUUAAAAAAAAAAGGGGCGGUAGGGGGUGUAGCUCAGUGGUAGAGCACACUUGCCUAGCAUGUGUAAGGCACUGGGUUUCAUCCUCAGUACCACAUUAAAAAAAUAAAUAAAAGUAUUGUAUCCAUCUACAACUAAAAAAAUUAAAAACACAACAGCCAGGUAUGAUGGCACAUGCCUGUCAUUCUAGCAACUCAGGAGACUGAGGCAGGAGAAUCACUAGUUAGAGAAAGCCUCAGCAACUUAGACCCUGUCUCAAAAUAAACUUUAAGAAAGGCUAGGGUUGUAGCCCAGUGGUACAGCAACCCCCAGGGUUCAAUCUCCAGUACAAACAAAUAAAAAUAAAUCAAAAUAGCAUGUUCUAUAAAUGUGUUCUGUGUACCAAAUUUUAACAUUUAUAGUGGGAAGCCCACUUAAGCUAAUUAAUAUAUUUUGCAGAUUAAUUAACUUAAAAUUAAAAAAAAAAGGAAAGUAGCAAAUACUUUUUCAAGCUUGUUGAAAAAAGACAACCCUGGCAAAAUAAGUUUUUGUUUGUCUGGUACUUGGGAUCAAAUUAAGGGGGACUAAUGCUUGCUAGGCAAGCAGUCUACCACCGAGCUACACUUCCAGCCCAUGGGUAAAAUAUUUUUAAUAAUUGUCUUCCACAUCUGCCCUCAUACCAUAGUUUUGCUCUCACACUCUUCAAAUCCUCUCCAACCCUACAACAAAGCAAAACUUCUUUCAGCUUUUCUUUUAACUUCAUUUUCUUUUGAUUUUCUAUCACAAAAAUCUCGGAAUCUGAUCUAUCAAAAAAGAUACACCUCAGGUUGGGGCUGCAGCUCAGUGGCAGAACAUUUGCCUAGCAUGUGUGAGGCACUGGGUUUGAUCCCUAGCACCACAUAAAAAUGAAACAAAUAGAGCAUGCUAGCCAUCUAAAGAUGCACUUCAGAAAGUCUAGGAAAGGAAGACACUGAGGCCAAGUUAGGAUGGUGUCUGAGGGGAAGGGAAGCAAGAAAUCCAAGACAUUUGAUUGAUUAACUUGGCUAUUGUGCAUCCAACGAUGCUUGUUAACCCUUUGUAGGCUGGUUGGCACUAAAGCCCUGUCUCUCUUUAGUUUAAGGGGCUCCAAAUGCAGUUUUAAAAACAGCUUAUUGAGAUACAAUUCACAUACUGUAAAAUCCAUUUGAAGUAUGCCAUUCAUUGGUUUUUAGUUGGUUCAUACAGUUGUACAUCUACAAUCCAAUUUUAGAUCACCACAAUCUAAUUUUAGAAUAUUUUUGUUGGCCCAAAAAGAAACUCCGUAUCCACCAGCAGAUCCCUUCUAUUCCCCAACCCAUUAGUCCUGGGCUACUACAGAUCCUACUCACUAUUUCUUGGAUUUACCUAUUUUGGACAUUUCAUAUAAACGGAAUCAUACAAUAUCUGGUCUUUUGUGACUGGCUUAUUUCAAUUAACAUAUUUUCAAGAUUUAUUCGUGUUGUAGCAUCUGCUAAUUCUCCAUUCCUUUUAGUGACUAAAUAAUAUUCUAUUUUAUGAAUAUAUGCCAUAAUUGAUUUAUCUAUUCAUAAGUUAAUGGACAUUUGAUUACUUCCACUUAUUAGCAAUUAUGGAUAAUAUUGCUAUGAACCUUUGUGUGUAAGUGUUUAGGUGAACAUAUGUUUUAAUUUCUUUUGGGUAUAUGCCUGAUUAGUUUAUUACUGUGCAAACCUCAGAAUAAUAUUUCUGCUAUUUCUGGGUUCUGUUUUUCAGUCUCUGAACUAUGUCAUUAGUUAAGAAUAUCUUAGCACUGUGCUAGAUUUUUUUUUUAAAUUGGAACCCACAUGGCUGACAAAAUCAUGUGGCAUAUAAAUUAAUUCACCCCUGUAGCAUACACAUGCCUUAGUCAAAGCACAUUUGAGAAGGGUUUAGUCCAUCUGUUGAUGGUUCCUGCUGUCGUCAUGGUUUAGUGGCCAUAUAUAUUAUAAUGGAUGAAUUUAAAAUAUUCCAAAUCAUGAUAAUUCAUAAUUUUGUAUGCCUGUUGUUAUUUAUUAUGACAAACACUAUAAGUGGUAUUGAUAACUUUAUACCAAACUUAUAGCAACUUACAACUUUUAAGAAAAUUGUCUCUAUUUUUCCCCCCAGACUUCUAAUUUACUUUAAUUGAAAUGCUUCCUAAGAGUCAAAGUGAAAUAAAAAGAUAUAGUUGUUUUAACUAUAGUAGUCCCAACCUUAUUCAUGAUUCUACUUUCUGUAGUUUAGGUUACACAUGGUCAACAAUGGUCUGAAAUUAUUUCAAUCUCAUAAGAUAUUUUGGGAAAGAGGGGGAGACUAUAGUCACAUAAAUUUUAUUGUAAUCUGUUCUGGUUAUUCUAUUGUACAUUAUUCUAAUUAUUCUGUUUUAUUGUUAAUCUCUCACUGUGCCUGAUUUAUAAGUUAGACUUUAUCAUAGAUAUACAAGGUUUAGUACUGUCUACAGUAUUAGGCAUCCCCUGGGGUAUUGUAACAUAUUCCCCAAGUAUCAGGAAGGACUACUAUAUUUAUAAGGACUUCCUCAGCACUAUACAGCUAAAACACAGAAAGAGCAUCGUGCCUUGGAGUAGCAAAAACCACAGAGAACAUUAACGUUGACAAUACAGUUAAGAGGCUGGUUUGUUAAGGAGCCUGAAUGCUUGUUUUAAAACAUUUGUUUAUUUAAAAGAAUCAUAGAACUUGCUGAUAAAUACAGGUUUUUGGGUUCUAUGCCUGAGAGUCAGGUUCCUUCAGACUGGAAUGGGACCUGGGAAUCAGCAUAAUGAACAUUUGCAAUGCUGUGAGGACUGUUCCUAUUGUUGAGCAGAACUGAUUUGAUACUAGUAUAUAGAAAAUGACUGGAUUUCCAUCAAAUAUGAGAUUUAUGUUCAUUUUUCUGGUACAGGGGAUUGAACCCAGGGCCCUGGGCAUUCUAGGCAAGUACUCUACCAGUGAGCUACAUCCAUAGCCCCUUUUUUUAAAAAAAGUUUUAUUUUGAGAUAGAGUCUCCUAAGUUGCCAGGGUUGGUCUUGAACUUGUGAUCUUCCUACCUCAGCCUCCCACAUGGGCUAGGUUUACAGGUUUGUGCCACCGUGCAUAGCCAGAUAUGAGAUUUUUGUAACUAGAAACGGACAGGAAUAAUAUACCUAGUCCUGGCUCUUUUGCUUAUUGUUUGUAAGAAUUAUAAGAAAUCAGUUGAUUUUAUUUUAAAAAUUAAGUAUGUAAGUAACACAUUUACCUACUCUAAAAUAUUAGACUAUUUUGGAUAAAACUAAAUUAUUGCUUACUUUUUAUUGCCUGCCUCCAAAUAAAAAAGACUGGGAAUGUAGCUCAGUGUGCAGGGCUCUGGGUUUAUUUCCCAGUACUGCAAAAAAGAAAACAAAAUAGAGAACCAAAAAUAGUUAUUCUAAUAUGGUGGCAUUUAAAGAAUAGUUUUAGAGAAUGUGUAUUGUUUCUAGUUUAUAGAUGCACAAAUGUUUUUUUUUUGUUGUUGUUAAACUGGGCCCAGUUUUAGCUCUUGAGUUCAUUUUGAGAAGUUCUGUUUAUAAGGAUUGGUUUUUAUGUUUUAUUCUUUCCUUGAAGUCUUCAAAGGAUGAAAAGAAAAUUUGCUUAUUUUUUAUAAUUACUAUGUGGAUCUUUUGGGACUUUUAGUGGCUAAUAUGUAUAGUAAAUAGGAUUUUAGUAAUUUUAUUUUUUUCUCUGUCAUGGAUUAGUUUGCUAUUUCAUCAUCCUAGAAAUUAUUUCUUUCAUCUUUACCUAUCAGUUAUUCCCAGCUAUAUUUUUUUAAAAAGACCAAACUAGUACAAAAACAGAAAAAUGGUAGAAUAAAAGGUUGAUGCAGUUGUGAAAUAGCUCAUAGCUAUUGUUAUCAUCUUUUAAGAAAAUAGCAAAGAAGUCUAGAGAUACUGUUUUGGUAGUCUUUGUUUCUAUUAUCCUUUAAUUUUCUAUGAACACAUUUGAGAAUUCACAUUUUUUUCAUUAACAGUUUAUAAUGACAAAGAGAAGAAAAUCAACAAAAUAAGCUAUUUCACAGUUAUUAAAUAAAUUAGAUGAAUACAAAGAGAUUGAGGUUAACACCCAAGAUUAUAAUGUCAAAAUUAACCAUAUAAGGGAAAUCUCAGAUUAUGAGUCUUCAAAUGACAAUGUAGGUCAGCUUUUCUCAAACUCAAGAACUGAUAAAUGAAGAAAUACUUCUGAGGAAUAUAUUAUAUAUUAUAUAUAUAUAUUUUAUAUAUAUAUAUAUAUAUAUUAUAUAUAUAUUUUCUCAUAAAUAGUAAUUCAACAGAAAGUUUUGUUUUGGGGAAGCUGGGGUUUGAACCCAAGGCCUCAUGCACACUAGGGAAAUACUUUUAUCAGUAAGCUACAUCCCAGGCCCUGUUCUUUUUGGUUUUUGUUUGUUCGUUUUAAAGAAAUAUGUGUAUACGUUUAUUUGCCCAGCAGGCUGCUUGAGGAGUGUGAAGGGAAAGGUGUGGGUAGCUCCAAUGCUGGGAACAGGCCAUGUUGCAGGAAUAGAAAGUAUUUUAUCAUGUAAUAUUUUGAAAUAAGAACUUGGACCAUCCUGUUUUUCUUUAAGAACUGAUAUUUUUUCAUUUUAUAUAUUUGGCACAAAAGUUUACUUGAUACAGUUCAUAAGAACUGACAGUAGAUAUUAUACCUCAUCUAAAAAUGAAAGUGGUGAUUUUGGAGCAAAGAAAAUUUCAGCUAUCCUCUUUUCAAAAUUAUGAGCAGUCACGAUUUUCCAAAGUAGAAUGUUUGCUGAUGGAAGUGCAGGAAGAGGAAGUGGAAGUAAAGAUAAGUUAAAAUCUAUUUCAAAUGUAUUUGAAAUCAGGAAGGGGUCGUACAGUGGUGCAUGCCUUUAAUCUCAAUGGCUAAGGAGGCUAAGGCAAGAGGGUUUAGGUUCAAAGCCAGCCUCAGCAAUUUAGUGAGGUUGUAAGCAAACCUGCUGAGAAUCUGUCUCAAAAACAAAACAAAAUAAAACACUAAAAAGGGAUGGCGAUGUGGCUCAGUAGUUAAGUGCACUUGGGUUCAAUCCCUGGUACCAAAACAACAACAACAAAAAACCCCACACAACAAAAACAACCAAUCAACCAGAAACCAGGAAUCCACAUUUACAAGAUAUGAUCCUAGGAGUAAACUUAACAGCUGAUGAGGAGUUAGUUCACAUUUGAGAAAAUUCAAAAAACAAACAAAAAAAAGUUUUAGGGCUGGGGGUGUAGUUCAGUGGUAGAACCUGUGGAUGGUAUGCAUGAGACCCUGGAUUCAAUUCCUAACAUCAUUUGAAAAAGAAAGAAAACCUUUAGUCACUUCAGGUUUAAGUAAUCCCCCUUCUGCACCCAUGAAUCCAAAUGGAUUGAUUGUCAGGGGGAAAAAAUUGCCUCUGUACUAUGUACAAUUUUUUUAUUUUCAUGUUAUUAUUUUUUAAACAUUACAAUAUAAUGACUAUUUACAUAACAUUUACAUUUUAUUAGUAUAAGCAACCUAGAGAUGUUUGAGUAUAUGAGAGGCCAGGGCUAGUAGUGGACACCUGUAAUCCCUGGCUGAGGCAGAAGGAUCUCAAGUUGGAGGCCAGCCAGGGCAAUUUAGUGAGAUCCUAUCUAAAAAUUGGAUUGGGAAUAUAGCUUGGUGGUAAAGUGCCCUUGGAUUCAAUCUUCAGUAAAAAUAAAUAAAGAAUAUAGGAGGAUAUUGCUGGGCAUAGUGGUAUGUACUUACAAAGCCUGCUAAGAGGCUGAGGCAGGAAAUUGCAAGUUGGAGGCCAGCUUUGGCAAUUUAGGGAGACCCUACCCUGUCUUGAAAUAAAAUAAAAAAGAUGAUCAGGAUAUAGCUCAGGUGUUUCCAUGAGACUAUGGGUUCAGUCCAUGGAAUUCCCCCCACCCCCUGCCAAAAAAAAUAUAAGAGGAUGUACUUAGGUUAUAUGCAAAUAUCAUGUCACUUUAUGUAAGGGACUUGGAUUUUGAUAGCCAUGAAGGGUGAUGAGGUCCUAUAACCUAUCUCAUGCAGAUACUAAAGUACAAUGGUGUACCUCCUAAGCCAAGUUAUUAUAAUAUUACAAAUUGGGUUUACUGUAUUUUAAAAUCUUAAAAUUAAAAAUUUAAAGACAUGAUUUAUUGUUCCUUUAUUCUGUAAAUUUCAUAACGUGAUAAAAUAUUAGAUUUCCAAGUUCCAUAGUGUGGUUAAAGGGCAAAAGUUUUUUUAUGGCUGUUUUUUGUAAGUCCUCUGGUUUUCUAAUCACAGCACAGUUUUUUUUUUUUUUUAAUGAUUUUCUUUUGUGUGGUUCAUUUUAUUUUAUUUUUUUUUAUGUUUGUGAUAAGUAAAUUCCAUAUGCUAAGUAAAUUUCAGGAGGGCAGGGAUUAUGUUUUGUCUUGUCCAUGGUUAAUCUUCAGCACCUUACCUGUGCCUGGUACUGUGAGUGUGCAAUACAUUUGUCAAACAGGUGGCUUCUUAUAAAAUCUUAUCUUGAUUAUGGGAAUUAAAGUCAUCAUACUACAGUGAUACUUGCAUAUCCAUGUUUAUAGCAGCACAAUUCACAAUAGCCAAACUAUGGAACCAGUCUAGGUGUCCAUCAAUAGAUGAAUAAAGAAAAUGUGGUGUGUGAUAUAUACACAUGCAUACACACACACAAUAUAGAGUUAUUCAGUCAUAAAGAAAACUGAAAUUAUGCCAUUUGUAGGAAAAUGGAUGGAAGUAGGGAUGAUUUAUGUUAAAAAAAUAAGUCAUAUUCAGAAAGUCAAGGGUCCUGUGUUUUCUCUCAUAUGCAGAAGCUAAAGAGGAAAAGGAGAAGAAAAGUGGUGGGAGAGGAAUCUCAUGAAAAUCAAAAGGAGAGAAGUAGAGGGUUCAAGAGAUGGGAAGUGUGGAGGGAGGGGGAAGUGUUGGGGAGUGAUAGCAGCCAAAUUAUAUUAUUAUGUUGUGUGCAAGUAUGAAUAUGUAACAACAAACCCUAUCAUUAUGUACAACUACAAUGCACCAAUUAAAAAAUGUGGAAGAAAAGAAAUCUUUCCUUGGUUAGAAUUUUGGGCUUUUGUUAGCAAUGUAUUACCAGAUUCACAACAGAUUUGGGUUUAAUUCAGCCUUCUUUACCCAUUGAGAUUUAGUAUAUUACUUCAAUUUGCCAUAUAUUUUAGUUUCAUUAAACAGAUUACUUCUUUCUGACCUAUGAGUAGUACUGUCUUUUUUAAAAAAAAAAAAUAGAGAGAGAGAGAGAGAGAGAGAAUUUUAAUAUUUAUUUUUUUAGUUUUCAGCGGACACAACAUCUUUGUUUGUAUGUGGUGCUGAGGAUCGAACCCGGGCUGCACGCAUGCCAGGCUAGCGCGCUACCGCUUGAGCCACAUCCCCAGCCCAGUACUGUCUUUUUUAAGAAAAAAAAUCAGUUACUUUUUAAAAAAAAUAUUUUUUAGUUGUAGAUGGAUACAGUAUCUUUUAUCUGUUUACUGAGGAUCAAACCCACUGCCUCAAAGUGCAAGGCAAGCACUCUACCACUGAGCUACAGCCCCAUUUCCCAGUUACUGUUUAAAACACACACACACACACACACACACAGACACACACACAUAUAGAUGUCAAUAGACAUGACAAACUUUAUGCAGUCUUUCUGGGAUAUAUAUGAAAGACUCAUAAGGAUGCUUAAAUUUGUAAAUACCAUAUUUCACAAAUUACAGCUUAAUCCUCACAUAGCUUAGUAAGUGGAUGAUGAUGGCAUACAGCUGAGCUACGGCUAAAUAGCACUUAUUUACUAUGUAGAUAGAUGAUCUUUUUAUUGUACAUCAACUCCUUAUCACUGAACAUUAUGUUACUCUGAAUUUGUAAAAAGACCAUAAACUUAUGUUCCUACUAUCCUCAGUGAAACAUUUUUAAAGUUCAUUCAGCCCUAAGAAAGCAGCAGACAUUUCAAUACUUAAACUACACACACACAUGGAAACACAAUUUUUGCUUCUUUUCUCCCAAAACUGAGCCAGGCCUAGAAAUGAGGUGUAAAUUUUAAUCUUUAAGUAUACAUUAAUUCUCAUCAUUAAAGAAUAAAAGAAUGGAAUUUUAUACACAUUUAAGUAAGUCUAAGAUAAAAGAACAACAAAAAAUAUUAUUCAGGAACAGAAAAAAUAACAUUUUCUAAAGUCAAAAAGGACCACUAUAGAAAUUUUUUUUUAAAUUUUUUUUUAGUUGUUGAUGGAGCUUUAUUUAUUUUUUAUGUGGUGCUAGGGAUUAAACUCAGUGCCUCACACAUGCUAGACAAGCACUGUACCACUGAACUAUAACCCUAGCCCUAGAAAAUUUGUUGAUGAUUAAAAAUUAAUAAAAUAAACAACAAACAAUACUAGUACAGAGAUUACAUGAUUACUUAUCACAUCACUAUUCUCAUGCUUCCAGCUUUUCUUUCAUGUUACAAAAUUUCAAAGUUCAGCAUAUCUAACAAGUUGGUGAGUCUCAGAGAACUGUUCUUGGCUUGCUGUACUACUCUCUCAGAUUCCCUUAUUUCCUUCACUUUAAUGGCAGGUGUGUGUGUGUGUGUGUGUGUGUGUGUGUGUGUGUGUGUUCUUUAGCCUUCUGUAUCCAGGUACAAAACAGAAAUUAUUCUUCUGAACUGUCAUGAGGUUCACUGUUUCCAUUCCAUUCUGACUAUACCACAGUGUAGAUCCUUAUAGCUAUUAUGUCAUUUCUAGUUUGAUGUGGUAGUCUUCUGGCUUGUCUCUUUGUUCUAGUCUCUCCCCUGACAAGUUCUGCUAUGUGUUCUUUCCAUGUUGGUUUUUGCCACCUAGAAGAAUGUACUGGGUUUUUUUUUUUUUAGUUGUAGAUAGACAAAAUACCUUUAUUUUAUUUAUUUGUUUUUAUAUGGGGCUGAGAAUCAAACCCAGUGUCUCACAUAUGCUAGGCAAGCAUUCUACCACUGAGUUACAACCCCAGCCCAAGAAUGUACAUUUAAUGAGUAUUCUAUUCAUAAGUUACACCAAGAGUGUAAUACUUUAGAAGAAUUAAAAUACUUUAGAAGAACUUAACAUAAAUUAUUUAACUCAGCCUUAUGGUUUUAUGAAGUAAAUUAUGUUUUACUAAUAUACUUUUUAAAAAAUAUUUAUUUUUUAGUUUUAGGUGGACACAAUAUCUUAUUUUUACAUAGUGCUGAAAAUCGAACCCAGUGCCUCAGAGGCGUGCUAGGCGAGUGCACUACCACUUGAGCCAUAUCCCCAGCUCCAUGACUUUUUUUUUUAAUAUUUAUGUUUUAGUUUUGCUAAUAUACUUUUAAUUUCAGAUUGAUAAGACAUUUUUAAAAAGGAAAAAUGACUCUAGGACGAUUCUGAACAUAGAAAUGUGUGAAAAAGACCUGGUGGCAAUGUAUUGUAAGAUUUCUGAAUCUGGAAAUUAGGGUUAUCCUUGCUUACGUGAAAAUGGGAGGGAGAUGUUGAGGAAUACUGUCACAACAGAGGGGUACCAGUUAGAAACUAUUGAUGGAGGAGGGAUGGGGAGGGAGUGAUUAUGUUAUAAAAUAUUCUGUACCUAAUUACAGCAUAAUAUAGUUACAUUCCUGAAAAAUCUUAAUGUUAGGUACUGAGGUUAGAAAACUAUUUGAGUUUUACUUAAAGGCAGCAGUAAAUAAAGUAGGUGUAAAUAAACUUUGUACAGUUUAUUAAUUAUAACAUAAAUAACUUUAAUUCAAUUUCUAUUCUAGGUUCAAAAGAAUAUAAAUUUAUUUUAAUGUUUGCAGUUUUAUUUAUUCUGACAUUUUUAUAAAUUCAUUUUGCUUUAAUUUUUGAGAUAGAAGGAAUGACAGUACAAAGUGCAAUAGGUGAAGUUGGCAUUCAUAAUAUUAUGAAAACUCAAAAAUCCACAAUAAGUUGUGAGACAAAAUGGUAACUACUGAGUUGCAUUGUAUAUUUUAGAGUGACUCAAUUUUAAGUGACUGUUCAUUAGGCACUAGCCUAAACAACUCUUUUUUUCAACCUUGCCAUAUCUUUAAGCUUUCUUUCUCUAGCCAUAUUCCAGUACAACUAAAAAAGAAAUUAAAUUCUUAUUGUUCUUUUUCUUCUGUAGAGUGAGUGGUUAAUCCUGACCAAUAAGUAAACUUUGAGGCAGUACCCCUUUUCUGAAUGAGAUACUUCUGAGGUGACAGAUAUGCCAAUACCCUGAUCUGAUCAUUAUCAUCCAUUCAUUCAUUAACAAAUAAGGGUUAGAUAUUUAGUAUUUUUUUCAAUACUGUAUCAAGUAGGUAGUAAUUAUACAAUGUUGCAGAAAGCAGAUACUUCCCUUUCCUUGUGGUGCUUAUAGCCCAGAAGAAAUGGUAAAGUUAACAUUACAAUUCUUUCUUACGCCCCAUUUGUUCCUUACUUAAUUUUCUAUUUACCACCUAUCAACAUUUAAGAAUUAUUUCUUUUUGUUUUGCCCUCGAUCCCACUGUCUUUGUCUUUUUGGGUUACCAUAACAAAAUAACAAAGACUGGGUAGAUUAUGAACAACAAAAAUAUACUUCUCAGUUUUGGAAGCUGAAAGGAGCAAGAUUAAGCAAGGUAUUGGCAGAUUCAGUGUUCAAUAGACUCACUUUCUGUUUCAUAUGAUGGUGUUUUCACGUGGUGCAUGGGACAGAGCUGCUCUCUGGGGCCUCUUUCAUAAGGGUGGUGAUCCCAUGCAGGAGGGCUCUGGUCUUAUGACCUAAUUACAGUUACUUCCCCACUUCCUGAUUCUAUCACAUUAAAGAUUAGGUUUUAACAUAAGAAUUGGGGGUAAGGGACACAAAAAUUCAGACUAUAGUAUUCACCCACAUAAUGUUAGAUGAUAACAUGGAUUUUGUGAUGUUUUGCUUAAGGAAUAUUUGUAGGUUGAGAAGUGAGGAAGGCACAUCUAAGUAGUCAACAUUUGCUUUUUCCGCCUGACUUAACUUCUUUGUUGCUUCCUUAUUUUAGGUGUUACUUUAAAUUUUUAUUUUGAAUUUUUACCUGGAAGCUUCCUGGAAGUUUCCCUACAAUAUCUUCAGAUUGAUGAUACUUUGUAAAAUUUAAGUCUAAAACUUUCUAUCAUUUAAGGGUAAAUCAUGCUCCUUAGCUUUUCAUUAUUGAAUAUUUUCCUAUUUAUUCAGUCCUUUUUUUUUUCUUUCCCCCUUCAUUUUUCUGUUGCUCUCUGCUUUCAGACUACUCUUCAGUAUUCACCAAAUAUAAUAUAGCACAGAUUCUUUAAACUUCUUUUUAAUAUGGUCCCUGGACCAGAGACAUCAGCUUAACUUAGAAAUUAGUUAAAAAUACAAAUCCUUUAGCUCCAUCCCAACGCCUAUUGAAUCAAACUCUGCUUAUAGGGCUCUGCAAAUUGAACAAGCCUUCUAGGAGAUUUUGAUAUACCUUGAAUUUGAGCAUCACUACCUUAAUCCUUUUCUUUUUUAAGCUCAUUUCCUUACAAGUCAACCAUUACUUAACCAUACAUUCAAUAACACUUUUAUUUUGAUCUUUAGAUCUCUAGAUCUAGCUCUCUAACCCUGAUUUCUGUCAAUCCUAUUUUUUAAAUUAUGCAUUAGACAUCUGUCCUGGAUGUCCUUCCAGUACUUCAUAUUGUAUAGGUUCUAAACAAAGUUCAUGAUUGGUCUCCUGAAAUCUGUUUUACAUCUUGUUUCCUAUUUCCUUUUAGCUUUGAAUGUUAGAUUUUGCAGUAUUUUCUCAGUAUUUUGUUUUGUCUUGCUAUAGAAGAACAACAACAACAAAAUUUUUUUAAAACUAUACUACCUGCAAUAGGAUAAGGAUUUUCUAAUCAAUGAAGUUACUAUUUUUCGUAGACUAAAUGUUGAAAUAUGAUUUUAUUUGUUGUCCAUACUUCUUCCCCCUCUGCUCUCUCCCACUCCUUGCCUU